rnacentral:rRNA from 1 species
UCUUAUUGCAAACUCCCGGGAGUGGACGGACGGCCUUCGGAUGGUAAGCCGUUUUCGCCUGUGACGAAGCGUGAGUGACGGUGAUGGGUAAAGAAGCACCGGCUAACUACGUGCCAGCAGCCGCGGUGAUACGUAGGGUGCGAGCGUUGUCCGGAUUUAUUGGGCGUAAAGGGCUCGUAGGUGGUUGAUCGCGUCGGAAGUGUAAUCUUGGGGCUUAACCCUGAGCGUGCUUUCGAUACGGGUUGACUUGAGGAAGGUAGGGGAGAAUGGAAUUCCUGGUGGAGCGGUGGAAUGCGCAGAUAUCAGGAGGAACACCAGUGGCGAAGGCGGUUCUCUGGGCCUUUCCUGACGCUGAGGAGCGAAAGCGUGGGGAGCGAACAGGCUUAGAUACCCUGGUAGUCCACGCUGUAAACGGUGGGUACUAGGUGUGGGGUCCAUUCCACGGGUUCCGUGCCGUAGCUAACGCUUUAAGUACCCCGCCUGGGGAGUACGGCCGCAAGGCUAAAACUCAAA